GACGAACGCUGGCGGCGUGCCUAAUACAUGCAAGUCGAACGCUUCUUUCCUCCCGAGUGCUUGCACUCAAUUGGAAAGAGGAGUGGCGGACGGGUGAGUAACACGUGGGUAACCUACCCAUCAGAGGGGGAUAACACUUGGAAACAGGUGCUAAUACCGCAUAACAGUUUAUGCCGCAUGGCAUAAGAGUGAAAGGCGCUUUCGGGUGUCGCUGAUGGAUGGACCCGCGGUGCAUUAGCUAGUUGGUGAGGUAACGGCUCACCAAGGCCACGAUGCAUAGCCGACCUGAGAGGGUGAUCGGCCACACUGGGACUGAGACACGGCCCAGACUCCUACGGGAGGCAGCAGUAGGGAAUCUUCGGCAAUGGACGAAAGUCUGACCGAGCAACACCGCGUGAGUGAAGAAGGUUUUCGGAUCGUAAAACUCUGUUGUUAGAGAAGAACAAGGACGUUAGUAACUGAACGUCCCCUGACGGUAUCUAACCAGAAAGCCACGGCUAACUACGUGCCAGCAGCCGCGGUAAUACGUAGGUGGCAAGCGUUGUCCGGAUUUAUUGGGCGUAAAGCGAGCGCAGGCGGUUUCUUAAGUCUGAUGUGAAAGCCCCCGGCUCAACCGGGGGAGGGUCAUUGGAAACUGGGAGACUUGAGUGCAGAAGAGGAGAGUGGAAUUCCAUGUGUAGCGGUGAAAUGCGUAGAUAUAUGGAGGAACACCAGUGGCGAAGGCGGCUCUCUGGUCUGUAACUGACGCUGAGGCUCGAAAGCGUGGGGAGCAAACAGGAUUAGAUACCCUGGUAGUCCACGCCGUAAACGAUGAGUGCUAAGUGUUGGAGGGUUUCCGCCCUUCAGUGCUGCAGCAAACGCAUUAAGCACUCCGCCUGGGGAGUACGACCGCAAGGUUGAAACUCAAAGGAAUUGACGGGGGCCCGCACAAGCGGUGGAGCAUGUGGUUUAAUUCGAAGCAACGCGAAGAACCUUACCAGGUCUUGACAUCCUUUGACCACUCUAGAGAUAGAGCUUUCCCUUCGGGGACAAAGUGACAGGUGGUGCAUGGUUGUCGUCAGCUCGUGUCGUGAGAUGUUGGGUUAAGUCCCGCAACGAGCGCAACCCUUAUUGUUAGUUGCCAUCAUUUAGUUGGGCACUCUAGCGAGACUGCCGGUGACAAACCGGAGGAAGGUGGGGAUGACGUCAAAUCAUCAUGCCCCUUAUGACCUGGGCUACACACGUGCUACAAUGGGAAGUACAACGAGUCGCUAGACCGCGAGGUCAUGCAAAUCUCUUAAAGCUUCUCUCAGUUCGGAUUGCAGGCUGCAACUCGCCUGCAUGAAGCCGGAAUCGCUAGUAAUCGCGGAUCAGCACGCCGCGGUGAAUACGUUCCCGGGCCU
rnacentral:rRNA from 1 species